rnacentral:ncRNA from 1 species
UGAAAGACGAUGACAGGGAGAAGUACGCCGAUCAGCGGCUUACAGAGAGCCAAGGGGUGGUGGGACUUGGCAGCCAAGAGCGGUGGAAAUACACCCUUGAGUUGCGGGCUGAACUUACAGUAGGCCUUGCCGUAUGCCGGCGUUAACGGCUGCGGGAGUGAUGGCUCCCUAAGAGAGGGUUCCUUAUGGAAUCAACUCAGGUGGUACCGCGGCUAUUAGUCGUCCUGUGC